rnacentral:rRNA from 1 species
AUGUACACCUUAUAUUUAUGUAUGAAGGCAACAGUUCACAAGCAAGUCGAUAACUUUGAGCGCAUGACGUUCGCCGCCUCUGCCUCUAGUGACGUCAUCCUCGCCGCUAACUACGCCGGUUGCGGCCGGACCCUGAUCUACGAUGCCGCCCCCGGCGGCGUCUCCCCCGGGCCGAAGAUGCGCUCCGUCAAGAACUACCUGUUCCUUGUCCCGGUCGGCGACCGCACGUUCUUCGCCAUGUCCGCCUACUCGCGCCUGGACGUCCCCCCUGGGGGACCCUGGUUCGAGGUUCUGCAGCAGCAGCUCCUCCCCGGCGGCGGCGGCCGCUGGGCCUGGAGCGCCGUUCCUGACCCGCCCGGCCUCCCUCGUGGACAGAGGGAGGACGUCCGGGCCUACUUCGUCGCGGGCGCGCGCGUCUGGAUCUCGCUGCGCCUGCAGGGUACCUAUUCCUUCGACACGGCGCGUCAGAGGUAG